AUUCCAGCUCCAGUAGCGUAUAUUAAAGUUGUUGCAGUUAAAAAGCUCGUAGUUGGAUUUCUGGCCUGACGAAACUGACCCGCCUCGGUUACGUGUGUGAGUGUCGGGCUUCGUCUGCCAUCCUUCCAGAAAACGUUUCUACCCUUCACUGGGCUGGAUUCGCGAUCUGGAACUUUUACUUUGAAGAAAUUAGAGUGUUCAAAGCAGGCUUGCGCUGUGAAUACAUUAGCAUGGAAUAAUAAUUUAGGACUCAGGUCUUAUUUUGUUGGUUCUUAAGAUCUAAGUAAUGAUUGAUAGGGAUAGUUGGGGGUGCUAGUAUUCAGCGGCCAGAGGUGAAAUUCUUGGAUUCGCUGAAGACUAACUUAUGCGAAAGCAUUCACCAAGGAUGUCUUCAUCA
rnacentral:rRNA from 1 species